CCUACGGGGGGCAGCAGUGGGGAAUAUUGGGCAAUGGAGGCAACUCUUACCCAGCAAUGCCGCGUGAAUGAAGAAGGUCUUCGGGUUGUAAAGUUCUUUACUUGGGGACGAAGAAAGUGACGGUACCCAAGGAAUAAGCCCCGGCUAACUACGUGCCAGCAGCCGCGGUAAUACGUAGGGGGCAAGCGUUGUUCGGAUUGACUGGGCGUAAAGGGGGUGUAGGCGGGGUAGCAAGUUAGAAGUGAAAUACCCAGAGCUUAACUCAGGUGCUGCUUCUAAAACGGCUAUACUUGAGUGCUGGAGAGGCAAGUGGAAUUCCGAGUGUAGCGGUGGAAUGCGUAGAUAUUAGGAGGAACAGCAGUGGCGAAGGCGACUUUCUGGACUGUAACUGACGCUGAGGCACGAAAGUGUGGGGAGCAAACAGGAUUAGAUACCCUUGUAGUC
rnacentral:rRNA from 1 species